UUAACCUGGGCUCGAAGCGCAGUGGACCGGGGUGGAAACAUCCCUUUUCGCAAGAACUGCUGCGGAGGUGCUGCAUGGCUGUCGUCAGCUCGUGUCGUGAGAUGUUGGGUUAAGUCCGCAACGAGCGCAACCCUUAUCGUUAGUUGCCAGCGGGUCAAGCCGGGCACUCUAGCGAAACCGCACAGGAUAACUGUGAGGAAGGUGGGGAUGACGUCAAGUCCUCAUGGCCUUUAUGUCCAGGGCUACACACGUGCUACAAUGGCCGGUACAAACCGUCGCAAACCCGCAAGGGGGAGCUAAUCGGAAAAAGCCGGCCUCAGUUCGGAUUGGAGUCUGCAACCCGACUCCAUGAAGCUGGAAUCGCUAGUAAUCGCGGAUCAGCACGCCGCGGUCGAAUACGUUCCCGGGCCUUGUACACACCGCCCGUCACAUCACGAAAGUGGACUAUACUAGAAGCCGGUGAGCCAACCGCAAGGGGGCAGCCGUCCAAGGUAUGGUUCAUGAUUGGGGUGAAGUCGUAACAAGGUAGGCGUAGUGCU
rnacentral:rRNA from 1 species